GAUGAACGCUAGCUACAGGCUUAACACAUGCAAGUCGAGGGGCAUCAGGAAGAAAGCUUGCUUUCUUUGCUGGCGACCGGCGCACGGGUGAGUAACACGUAUCCAACCUGCCCUUUACUCGGGGAUAGCCUUUCGAAAGAAAGAUUAAUACCCGAUAGCAUAAUGAUUCCGCAUGGUUUCAUUAUUAAAGGAUUCCGGUAAAGGAUGGGGAUGCGUUCCAUUAGGUUGUUGGUGAGGUAACGGCUCACCAAGCCUUCGAUGGAUAGGGGUUCUGAGAGGAAGGUCCCCCACAUUGGAACUGAGACACGGUCCAAACUCCUACGGGAGGCAGCAGUGAGGAAUAUUGGUCAAUGGGCGCUAGCCUGAACCAGCCAAGUAGCGUGAAGGAUGAAGGCUCUAUGGGUCGUAAACUUCUUUUAUAUAAGAAUAAAGUGCAGUAUGUAUACUGUUUUGUAUGUAUUAUAUGAAUAAGGAUCGGCUAACUCCGUGCCAGCAGCCGCGGUAAUACGGAGGAUCCGAGCGUUAUCCGGAUUUAUUGGGUUUAAAGGGAGCGUAGGUGGACUGGUAAGUCAGUUGUGAAAGUUUGCGGCUCAACCGUAAAAUUGCAGUUGAUACUGUCAGUCUUGAGUACAGUAGAGGUGGGCGGAAUUCGUGGUGUGGCGGUGAAAUGCUUAGAUAUCACGAAGAACUCCGAUUGCGAAGGCAGCUCACUGGACUGCAACUGACACUGAUGCUCGAAAGUGUGGGUAUCAAACAGG
rnacentral:rRNA from 1 species